rnacentral:rRNA from 1 species
GCAAGUCGUACGCUUCUUUUUCCACCGGAGCUUGCUCCACCGGAAAAAGAAGAGUGGCGAACGGGUGAGUAACACGUGGGUAACCUGCCCAUCAGAAGGGGAUAACACUUGGAAACAGGUGCUAAUACCGUAUAACAAUCGAAACCGCAUGGUUUUGAUUUGAAAGGCGCUUUCGGGUGUCGCUGAUGGAUGGACCCGCGGUGCAUUAGCUAGUUGGUGAGGUAACGGCUCACCAAGGCCACGAUGCAUAGCCGACCUGAGAGGGUGAUCGGCCACAUUGGGACUGAGACACGGCCCAAACUCCUACGGGAGGCAGCAGUAGGGAAUCUUCGGCAAUGGACGAAAGUCUGACCGAGCAACGCCGCGUGAGUGAAGAAGGUUUUCGGAUCGUAAAACUCUGUUGUUAGAGAAGAACAAGGAUGAGAGUAACUGUUCAUCCCUUGACGGUAUCUAACCAGAAAGCCACGGCUAACUACGUGCCAGCAGCCGCGGUAAUACGUAGGUGGCAAGCGUUGUCCGGAUUUAUUGGGCGUAAAGCGAGCGCAGGCGGUUUCUUAAGUCUGAUGUGAAAGCCCCCGGCUCAACCGGGGAGGGUCAUUGGAAACUGGGAGACUUGAGUGCAGAAGAGGAGAGUGGAAUUCCAUGUGUAGCGGUGAAAUGCGUAGAUAUAUGGAGGAACACCAGUGGCGAAGGCGGCUCUCUGGUCUGUAACUGACGCUGAGGCUCGAAAGCGUGGGGAGCAAACAGGAUUAGAUACCCUGGUAGUCCACGCCGUAAACGAUGAGUGCUAAGUGUUGGAGGGUUUCCGCCCUUCAGUGCUGCAGCUAACGCAUUAAGCACUCCGCCUGGGGAGUACGACCGCAAGGUUGAAACUCAAAGGAAUUGACGGGGGCCCGCACAAGCGGUGGAGCAUGUGGUUUAAUUCGAAGCAACGCGAAGAACCUUACCAGGUCUUGACAUCCUUUGACCACUCUAGAGAUAGAGCUUCCCCUUCGGGGGCAAAGUGACAGGUGGUGCAUGGUUGUCGUCAGCUCGUGUCGUGAGAUGUUGGGUUAAGUCCCGCAACGAGCGCAACCCUUAUUGUUAGUUGCCAUCAUUUAGUUGGGCACUCUAGCAAGACUGCCGGUGACAAACCGGAGGAAGGUGGGGAUGACGUCAAAUCAUCAUGCCCCUUAUGACCUGGGCUACACACGUGCUACAAUGGGAAGUACAACGAGUCGCGAAGUCGCGAGGCUAAGCUAAUCUCUUAAAGCUUCUCUCAGUUCGGAUUGUAGGCUGCAACUCGCCUACAUGAAGCCGGAAUCGCUAGUAAUCGCGGAUCAGCACGCCGCGGUGAAUACGUUCCCGGGCCUUGUACACACCGCCCGUCACACCACGAGAGUU